GUGCUUGCUUCGGCAGCACAUAUACUAAAAUUAGAACAAUACAGAGAAGAUUAGCAUGGUCCCUGUGCAAGGAUAACACACAAAUUCGUGAAGCAUUCUAUAUUUUU
ensembl:snRNA U6 U6 spliceosomal RNA